rnacentral:rRNA from 1 species
CCUACGGGUGGCAGCAGUGAGGAAUAUUGGUCAAUGGGCGCGAGCCUGAACCAGCCAAGUCGCGUGAGGGAGGACGGCCCUACGGGUUGUAAACCUCUUUUGCCGGGGAGCAACGGGCGUCACGUGUGGCGCCACUGAGAGUACCCGGAGAAAAAGCCUCGGCUAACUCGGUGCAAGCAGCCGCGGUAAUACGGAGGAUGCGAGCUUUCCCCGAAUUUACUGGGUGUAAGGGGCGUUAAGCGGGGAAGGCAAGCAGAUGUGAAAUCUGGAGGCUCAACCUCCAAAUUGCAUUUGAAACUGUUUUGCUUGAGUACUGGAGAGGCAGACGGAAUUCCUUGUGUAGCGGUGAAAUGCGUAGAUAUAAGGAGGAACACCAGUGGCGAAGGCGGUCUGCUGGACAGCAACUGACGGUGAGGCGCGAAAGCGUGGGGAGCAAACAGGAUUAGAUACCCGUGUAGUC